AUGAAUUAUGCUUAUGGAGAUGAACUUGCUAUAGUUCCUUAUGUUAAACAUGAAAUUUUUGCUAUUGCACCCAUGCAUGAUAGUCCUAUUAUCUUUUUGAAUUCUCCAAACAACACUAUAUCGAAGAAGUUUGUGCUUAUUAAGGAUUAUAUUGAUGGGUUGCCUUUUAUCAUUGCACAUGAUGAUUUUGAUAGAUGUAAUAUGCAUGUGCUUUCUGCUCCUACUUGCAAUUAUUAUGAGAGAGGAACUAUAUCUUCACCUCUCUAUGUUUCCAAUAUGAUGAAAUUGCAAGAAAGUACUUAUACUAUGCAUUGGCCUUUACUUGGAAGAUUGCUCGAAGCAUCUUACCUCGAUAGAGUCGACGGGUGCGUGUUUAUAUAG
rnacentral:rRNA from 1 species